rnacentral:snRNA from 1 species
AUGCUUGCUUUGGCAGCACAUAUACUAAAAUUGGAAUGAUACAGAGAAGAUUAGCAUGGCCCCUGCACAAGGAUGACAUGCAAAUUUGUGAAGUAUUCCAUGUUUUU